CAGCAGCCACGGUAAAACGAAGGGUGCAAGCGUUAAUCGGAAUUACUGGGCGUAAAGCGUGCGUAGGCGGUUUGUUAAGUCUGUUGUGAAAUCCCCGGGCUCAACCUGGGAAUGGCAGUGGAUACUGGCUCGCUAGAGUGUGUCAGAGGAUGGUGGAAUUCCCGGUGUAGCGGUGAAAUGCGUAGAGAUCGGGAGGAACAUCAGUGGCGAAGGCGGCCAUCUGGGACAACACUGACGCUGAGGCACGAAAGCGUGGGGAGCAAACAGGAUUAGAUACCCGCGUAGUCCCUGUCUCUUAUAC
rnacentral:rRNA from 1 species